GUCUACGGCCACACCGCCCUGAAUGCGCCCGAUCCCGUCUGACCUUGGAAGCUAAGCAGGGUCGGGCCCAGUCAGUACCUGGAUGGGAGAAAGAAAUUCCUUAAUGUCUAAAAGCUGUUAAAU
rnacentral:rRNA from 1 species